rnacentral:rRNA from 1 species
UACGUAGGGACCAAGCGUUGUUCGGAUUUACUGGGCGUAAAGCGUGCGCAGGCGGUUGUGCAAGACCGAUGUGAAAUCCCCGGGCUUAACCUGGGAAUGGCAUUGGUGACUGCACGGCUAGAGUGUGUCAGAGGGGGGUAGAAUUCCACGUGUAGCAGUGAAAUGCGUAGAGAUGUGGAGGAAUACCGAUGGCGAAGGCAGCCCCCUGGGAUAACACUGACGCUCAUGCACGAAAGCGUGGGGAGCAAACAGG